AAAAAUGUUUUCUAGGGUUCCGCACAUCAAAUGCUGGUCUGGUCCGAGAGAAAACACACAGUGAAUUACUGUGUCACGGAGGGAUAAAAGCCCGGGAGAA
rnacentral:sRNA from 1 species